AUUUGGUUUGCCAGUGUCGCUUAAAUCUUACGUGAUCAGUUCGUGCUUAACUACGAUGUUAUGGUAAACGCAUUGUUGCAAGUGGUCAGAGCUUAACAAAAAGGAUAGCAAAAAAGAAGCAAAUUUUACUAAUUCAUUCUGUUUCAUCUUUGUUUCAAUUGCAGAGGACAAGUUAAACGAGAGCCAUGAAGUCUUUUUGCAUGGUGCUCUAUCCAAUGAUUCUUUUUGUAUUGGUCAACAUGGAACAAUACAAGCGAUUGGAGCGAAGACCGACAAAAUCAUUAUUGGAAACGACAUACAAAGAAAAUGCAAAAUCUAUAUUUUGUGGAAUAGCACAUGGAGAACGACACUAUUGUCCACGCAGGCAUAAUUCAGCAAAAUGCUGUCCAACGUACGAUUCUCGCCAUGGUGGCGUUAUUGUAGAUUAUGGCUGUUGCCGUUGGCUAUAUGGAGAAUGUUGCAAUGACGGGGGUUGCUGUCGCCCUGGUUUAAGAUGUGUUGGUGUUGGAAUGUGCCUCAAGCAAAGAAUACAACACGUGUAUAUGUAAAGUAAUAUUGACGAUAAACCAAACAAAGAUAUUUGCAUUGGUCUUUUUUGCUUGGUUUCUCUCUUUUGUCGUAACCCUAUAGCUGCUAGUAUAACUUGAAAAGUGUAUAAAAUUUUUUUAUUCUGGAUAUAUGCAUAAAGAUGUUUUCCUAUUCAUCUUGCUUUUCACAGAGAACACAACAAGAUGGCAUUGUUUAUAUGAAAUUGAAUUUUUAAGGAAUUUCAUACAAUUUAAUCAAUAAUAUAUAGCUUUUGAAUGGUA